UAUCGCAGAAAUGAUGUGCGUUCUUCCAGCAGCUCACGGCUUUUGGCACAGGGAAUUUGUUUGCUACAGGGCUGGAUUUUAGGCAUUCUUUGUAUAUUUGAGGGUGUAGAUUAGCGGGUUUUUCGCCUCACUGUUCCUUUAAUUUUUUAUGUGUUCUGGGUGUAUAGUGAAAAAGGAAGCAUUAACAGUACUGAUCGUAUUCGGGGAGGCAAAAAUAUUUGUAGCAGCUCCGUUGUUGAGAGGUCGUAAUUGCUCUCUUCGACUCUUCGGCUUGGGCGGGUGCCUUAUAGCAAUUCUAUUACAAGACCAUAGUCAUGAUUUGAUUUCUAUGUCU
rnacentral:lncRNA from 1 species